rnacentral:tRNA from 1 species
GCCAGGGUGGCGUAGUGGUUAGCGCAUCUGCGUAGUGAGCAGGAGACCCAGGUUCGAAACCUGGCCUCGGUA